CCCACAACUGCCACCUUAGGCCUUGUUCUGCCUGGCCGCCAUCUUGAAAGACGUUGGUCUUCUCUACCCUGAAUUCUAGAUUUAGGUUUGGGACCUUGAAGCCACAUAAGUGUUGAGUCCAGCUCCGUGCUUUCCUUAAGUAUCUCCAGAAAGAGGAAGGUAAGGAGCAGCAGCUGUGCUUUGCUGGAGCAGCCGUGAAGAGAUAGCCCACCUCCAAGCAAAAGGGUGAACCAUGGAUGAUGUUAACAGGACUGAGACUGGAAAUGAAGAGACAGGAAGAUGGAAGAACUUUAAUUCUUGGAUUAAAUACUACUUCAACUAUGAAUGCUAUAUGACUUUCCUUAGUGGCUGCUACAGUUGCAAAUGGGAAGCCCAACAGAAGAAAAAAGCUAGACGUCCACUCUGCUGCUGCUCUUUGAGAGAGCGAUUAUUUUACCCGUGGCUGAUUACGUCAUUUUGCUUGUCUGUGUUUUUACUUUUCACGUGGAUAGAAUCUUCAAAUGAAUACAAUGGCUUUGACUGGGUUAUAUUCCUAGGUACAGGAGUCUGGUUCUUUUGGUCCCUUGUCUUGCUGAGUUUCCUUGGGAUCCUGGCUACCUACACAACAUUGCUACUGGUACUUGGACUUUUGUUGUGUUGGGAAAAACAGCGACUACACCUGCACUGGUAUCAUAAGGUAGGGCAUCUGAAUCUUCAAAAGGAGACUCAAGACAAGGACUGAAUGUGACUCUUUGGCACGAAGUAUUAAAUACAGAGCUUCCCUUUCUUUGUCUCUCUUAGAAAAAAGAAAUCUGCUUACACUAUUUCAACUGAAAUGAUUCAGUUUCUAACAGGUGGAACUGACUUACUGACCAUGCUGAACCCAAAUGUUAUUUUUUCUCACUAGUCUGUGUUAAACUUACUAUGUGUGUCUGUUAUUCCCAUCCCCAUAAAAUCUUGAGCAAGCUCCAUUAAUUUCCCAGUCCUUCAUAGUUACAAGGGCAUUCCAUUUCAAUUAUUAAACAUUUCAGUUCAUUGUAUGAAUUCCAACUUUAUGAAACAUUUUCCUUACCCUAUUUCACAUGACCCAGGCCUGGAAACCAACAGUGGUGAAGAGAACAUGAUUAUCCUUUUACCUUUCUUCCAGAGUAAGGCUCAGGGGAAGGAGAGAUAGGGUAAAGAACACAGUCCCACAGGGAGGGUUUGGUUCCAUUAGGACAAAGAAAUUGCAAUUUUUGGCUCUUUACUGCAUGGAUUUUUCCAUGUGUGUUUUCAGAGAUCCUUCUGUUGAGAUCUUGACUGCAACUCUUGGUGGAUUCAAUGCCUGUCUUCCUGUACCAUCUAAAAUUUCUCUGCUGGUGUCUUUUUUAUUCUCCCUGAGUUUGGAGCCCUUUAAAAAUACACAAGGGAAAAAAAUACACAAGAAAGUACAAAGGAUCUGUUUUUGUUCUGAGGAGACAGGCAUUACUGACCCAGCAUCUGAAGACAUGCAGCUCAUUUCCAGCAUUACCUCCCUUGUCUAGUUCUGCCAUGGGCUUGAGCAUCUCCAGCACAGCCUCUUGGUAUUUAUAGACUUUUUCAGGCAUGGUUUUCCUUGUAUUUCCUCAAAUGCAGAAACAUGUCAAAUGCCCUGAGUGGUCCCCUUAACUUUCUUCUUAUUCAAAAGGGAAGUAUGAAUUGAAAGUAUACAUUUAAGAGUUAGAAAGAAUGGAAAUUGAAGUAAUAAGAUCAUGCAGGGAAAGAGGAAAUUGGAGCAUGAACAUAUAGGUGUUACUGAGAUUCCCAUAGGUUUUGGAGUUUGGAUACCAUGAGCAAUUUGUCACUACCAAGAGUCCCUGUGGGUUAAACCAUUCUGAUUACCAUUCCAGGCUUGUGUCUAUUACAGAAACCAUGCUUACCUUGCCUCUGGCAGUGAGCACUGCUACUUGGCCUCUGCCACAGCAGAAUCUCAUCACUGCCUUUGAACUCAGGAAGCCAGUUUCUGUGGCAGCACCUCUCACCUUUAUCCAGGCAUAAAGCAUGGCCACUGCAGUGCUUUUCAAGGAUGCUGACACUCUCCUCACCAGUGUGUUUCUGUGUCCUCUGAGACCUCUUGUAGGGCACAAUAUGGAGUGGGUUAGCUGACCAUAGGUGAUAGCAUUCCAACAACAUUUUCUUUUUAAGA